AAAAAGGAAAAAACGUGGAAAAGAACACUGGAGACGGGACACAGAGAAAGAGAAGAAAAAAUAGAGGAAAGAGAGAGCUGAGAGAAAAUACGGAGAAGACAGAGAGGAAAAGGAACAUUGGAGACGAGAGGCACAGAGAAAGAGAAGAAAAAACUGGAGGAAGAAGAGAGCUGAAAGGAAAAUCGAGGAAGAGAAGAGAGGAGGAAAACUGGAGGAAUGGGAGAUGAGAAGAAAACAGAGAAAAACAGAGCACGAAGGAGAGAAAGGAAAUGCAGAAAAAAAUAGAGAGAAGAGAGCAUUCGGAGAGAAAGAGAGAAAGAGAGAAGGAGAGAUGAGAAGGAAACUAAAAAACAGAGCUUGAAGGAGAGGGAGGAGAGACCGAAGGAGGCAAAAAAAAAGAACAGAAAGCACAAGAGCACGGGGGACGGAAGAAAAGAAACUCAAACUGAACGAGAAAAAUGGAGCAGAAAACCAGACAUAGAAGAAAAGAAACUGGAGCAUAAGAAGCAGAGCAUCGAGACGAGGAAUUUCUGGGGGAGAAUAAGACAGAGAAGGAGUGCUAUAUCUGGCAAGAAGAUUCUUCUGAAACUUGAAAAAAUGAAGGAAGAUAAAUUGGCGGAAAGUACUGCGCCGGACACCAUCAUCUUUAUCUCACCCCAAAAACUUGGCAAGCUGCACAGGACAGCUGCAUCUCUCAUCUUGCUGCUUCUCUUUCACUUUAUGUUUCUUCCUCUUAUGCCUAUGGCUUUUACUUCGAUAUUUUUCCUUAUUCUUCUUUUGUCUGUUAUUCUUCUUGUGCCUUUUUGAAUGAUGAGAUGAAUCAUGCUCGCUGUUAGAUGAACUUUCACUUCUGGAGCAGUCGGACAUGGAAGAUGAAUAAUAUGAAUUAAAGAGCGGUGGUGCCUACGACAUGGUUUGCAGUAGGAUUUAACCUUUAGGGCUUCUUUAUCUCGGACCCGGUGACUUAUGAUAUGUCUUCAAUGUGUAAAGGUAGAUAUUGAGGAAGAGGCCAAGGUGGUAGAGGUCUUACUCUUAGAAGAGGAAGAGGAAGGCUUACUAGUAUUGCUCCACAACUUUUACCCAUUCAACAAGAUAAUAACACAUUUCAAGCCCCUCAAGUAGAUUUGCAAGAACCAUUAUUUUGAACAAGAUGCAACCUCUCCCGUUACACAGAUGAGUAGCGCAAGCAAUAAGUGCAAGAAACAAAACAAAUAGAGGAAAGCAAGUAACAAAACAUAUUUGUGGACCUCGAUCAUUUGUAGAACUUGAAGAUAGAUUGAUGUGGGAAAUACAGCAUACAAGGAAGAUUAUAGAUGGACAUUUUGAGUGAGCAGAUCAUUCAGAGAAAAUUCAUGCUUGACUCAAGGAUCUUGUACAACAACAAGAUUCAAACAAUGAUUCCCAAUUGACUUCAGAUUAGAUUUUAAGCCAAGUUCUUGGUAAAAGGUCAGGGUAUGUCAUAUGUAAAGGUUGUGAAGUGCAUCCUGUGAAAAAAGGGCUCAAUCUCAAUCUUUUGAGAUGGAAAAAAUAUGACAACAAAUGAAAGUAGAUUUUAAGAGGAGACUUCAACAAGAGCGUGAGCAGAUGGAACAAAAUUUUUCUCAAAGAAUUCGAGAUAAAGUGGCUGCCAUCAUGGCUUCAUUUCAGUAGGGACAGUCUCAAGCACCAGCUCCAACUCCAGGUUCAACUCCAACAAAUGAUAUAUGAAGUGGUGGUGUUAGUUUCAA